AAUCUGAGGAGAACUAACAGGAUUCCCUAGUAACUGCGAGUGAAGCGGGAAAAGCUCAAAUUUAAAAUCUGGCAGCUUUGGUUGUCCGAGUUGUAGUCUGGAGAAGCGUUUUCUGUGCUGGACCGUGUACAAGUCUCUUGGAAUAGAGCGUCAUAGAGGGUGAGAAUCCCGUCUUGGACACGGACUGCCAGUGCUUUGUGAUGCGCUCUCAAAGAGUCGAGUUGUUUGGGAAUGCAGCUCAAAAUGGGUGGUAAAUUCCAUCUAAAGCUAAAUAUUGGCGAGAGACCGAUAGCGAACAAGUACCGUGAGGGAAAGAUGAAAAGCACUUUGGAAAGAGAGUUAAACAGUACGUGAAAUUGCUGAAAGGGAAACGAUUGAAGUCAGUCGCGUCUGCCAGAACUCAGCCUGGCUUUUGCCUGGUGCAUUUUCUGGUGGACGGGCCAGCAUCAAUUUUGACCGCCGGAUAAAGGCCUUGGGAAUGUGGCACCUUCGGGUGUGUUAUAGCCCUUGGUUGUAUACGGUGGUUGGGAUUGAGGAUCUCAGCAUGCCUUUAUGGUCGGGGUUCGCCCACGUUCAUGCUUAGGAUGCUGGCGUAAUGGCUUUAAACGACCCGUCUUGAAAACACGGA
rnacentral:rRNA from 1 species